rnacentral:rRNA from 1 species
AGCGAACGCUGGCGGCAGGCCUAACACAUGCAAGUCGAACGGAUCCUUCGGGAUUAGUGGCGGACGGGUGAGUAACACGUGGGAACGUGCCCUUUGGUUCGGAACAACUCAGGGAAACUUGAGCUAAUACCGGAUGUGCCCUUCGGGGGAAAGAUUUAUCGCCAUUGGAGCGGCCCGCGUCUGAUUAGCUAGUUGGUGGGGUAAAGGCCCACCAAGGCGACGAUCAGUAGCUGGUCUGAGAGGAUGAUCAGCCACAUUGGGACUGAGACACGGCCCAAACUCCUACGGGAGUCAGCAGUGGGGAAUCUUGCGCAAUGGGCGAAAGCCUGACGCAGCCAUGCCGCGUGAAUGAUGAAGGUCUUAGGAUUGUAAAAUUCUUUCACCGGGGACGAUAAUGACGGUACCCGGAGAAGAAGCCCCGGCUAACUUCGUGCCAGCAGCCGCCGUAA